UAUCUCCAUGAGAGCAAUCUCCAAUUCUUCAGCUCUACCAC
rnacentral:sRNA from 1 species